GGGUAUAGUUCAGCGUUAAGAGUGUGUGCCUGGAAUGCAGAAGGUUCUGGGUUCAAUCCCCAGUAUGUCCA
rnacentral:tRNA from 1 species